rfam:Schistosoma mattheei strain Denwood, Zambia genome assembly, scaffold: SMTD_scaffold0001935
GCACUGCUGAGGAGUCCCAUAAUAGGACGAAACGACCGUCCACUGC